UACGUAGGGUGCGAGCGUUAAUCGGAAUUACUGGGCGUAAAGCGUGCGCAGGCGGUUGUGUAAGUCAGAUGUGAAAUCCCCGGGCUCAACCUGGGAACUGCAUUUGAGACUGCACGGCUAGAGUGUGGCAGAGGGGGGUAGAAUUCCACGUGUAGCAGUGAAAUGCGUAGAGAUGUGGAGGAAUACCGAUGGCGAAGGCAGCCCCCUGGGCCAAUACUGACGCUCAUGCACGAAAGCGUGGGGAGCAAACAGG
rnacentral:rRNA from 1 species